rnacentral:rRNA from 1 species
GUUUUCUUCGAUGCACCACGAACAACCUUACCUGGCCUUGACAUACUACAAACUUUCAAAAGAUGGAUUGGUGCCUUCGGGAAUCUAAAUACAGGUGCUGCAUGGCUGUCCUCAUCUCGUGUCGUGAGAUGUUGGGUUAAGUCCCGCAACGAGCGCAACCCUUUUCCUUACUUGCCAGCAUUUCGGAUGGGAACUUUAAAGAUACUGCCAGUGACAAACUGGAGGAAGGCGGGGACGACGUCAAGUCAUCAUGGCCCUUACGGCCAGGGCUACACACGUGCUACAAUGGUCGGUACAAAGGGUUGCUACACAUGCGAUGUGAUGCUAAUCUCAAAAAGCCGAUCGUAGAUCGGAUUGGAGUCUGCAACUCCACUCCAUGAAGUCGGAAUCGCUAGUAAUCGCGGAUCAGAAUGCCGCGGUGAAUACGUUCCCGGGCCUUGUACACACC